GGUCUCAUGGUGUAACGGUUAGCACUCUGGACUCUGAAUCCAGCAAUCUGAGUUCAAAUCUCGGUGAGACCU
rnacentral:tRNA from 1 species